rnacentral:rRNA from 1 species
GAUGAACGCUAGCUACAGGCUUAACACAUGCAAGUCGAGGGACCGGCGCACGGGUGAGUAACACGUAUCCAACAUGCCCUUUACUCGGGGAUAGCCUUUCGAAAGAAAGAUUAAUACCCGAUGUAAAGGAUGGGGAUGCGUUCCAUUAGGUUGGUGGUGAGGUAACGGCUCACCAAGCCUUCGACGGAUAGGGGUUCUGAGAGGAAGGUCACCCACAUUGGAACUGAGACACGGUCCAAACUCCUACGGGAGGCAGGAGUGAGGAAUAUUUGUCAAUGAGCGUUAGGCUGAACCAGCCAAGUAGCGUGAAGGAUGAAGGGUUAUGGGUCGUAAACUUCUUUUAUAUAAGAAUAUGUAUUAUAUGAAUAAGGAUCGGCUAACUCCGUGCCAGCAGCCGCGGUAAUUC